UGUUAGAUUUUAUUCAUCUGGUUGGACUCCUAACGGCUGAUGAUUUGUGCUGGCAGUGCACCAACUUCCCACAUGUGCGCAACUUUCAGAUGCAGCCAGUGGACUUUCUCUUUUCUCUUUUUUCAAACUCUUUUUUGUGGCCAUUUCAGUUGAUACGCAUCUUAACACGACUGCAGUUGGAUUUGUUCAUACCAAAGGUGGAUUAGGCAUUUGUCAUCUGAUCAACGCUGCCAGCACACAGCGCAGCUGGGUGAAAGGGACUUGACCAGCUGUCUGUGUUGCGCUGUGGAACAUGAAGUACCGGAGCAGCACAACAUAACUCAGUGCACCAUGAUGUCGGUGGUUAGUUGCAGCACACAGCAGCUGGGUGAGAGGCUUUUCACCACAGGCUGUGGUUUGGAUCCUGUAAAGCGAAUGUAGUUCCAUGCUGGAGGUGCUGUUGAUCUUCAGUGAUGGUUAAACUACCUGGUGGUUCCCUGCCUGACCACACCAUGUCUGGCUCAAAGUCGCUGGAUGCCGUAAAUCACCUGAAGUGCCUUGUGGUGACUUGUGCUGUGAUUCGGUGCUAUAUAAAUGAAUUGAAUUGCAAAUAAUCCACAGUAUUCCUAAUGUAUACUAUUUUGUAUACUAUUACAUUUCAGAGUAAUCAUUCCCAACUCAGUAUGCUGUUGUUAAUGGUUCAUUAACAGUCUGACAAUUUGCAAGCCGUUUGCCGACGGAGAGUGAAAAGUUGCUUACCAUUUGCCAUCGCCAAGGUCCAUCAGAUUCCACAAGAGCCAAGUUGACAUCAGUCAGAACUGGGGAGGAAUGAAGGAUGAAGCAAGGAGGCGUGGCAGCGUGGGAGGAGGAGACAUCAAAGGCGCGGGGGGAAAUCGGAUCCCGCCUCGCGGCACAGACAAAGCAGGCUGUGGGGUUCAGGGACAAAGGAAAUGUGAUCUGCCAUGUGACCGUGAAGGCCGCGCAUGCUUUCCCCGUCUGGCUCCAUUCAGCUUUUCACUCAUUCAGCUUUAUCCGUCCUCAGUGCCAAAGCGAGCACAGAGAGAAAACGUUCUUAUACUUAGAGAAAUUUGUUUUCUGUGUAAUUCCCUGUUUUAUGAUGUCAGGAUGUCAAGUUAUGUCGUUUGUUUGGGUUUGGUUUGUGAUUUGAACAUUUUUAUUACGUGAGACCAAAAUAUGACCAUCGGGUAUUGCGAAGGCUUUUCGUCUGUCCGUCUGUCUGUCCGUCUGUCUGUGCUCAGCAUAAAUCUGGUCCUAUUACUGU